GCUACCGCCUAUAUUAUCCUUGACCCCGUGUAUCAUCCUCCACCCCCUAUAUUAUCCUUUACCCCAUGUAUCAUGCUCCACCCCCUAUAUUAUCCUUUACCCCAUGUAUCAUGCUCCACCCCUGUAUCAUCCUCCACCCCUGUAUCAUCCUCCACCCCCUAUAUUAUCCUUUACCCCAUGUAUCAUCCUCCACCCCCUAUAUUAUCCUUUACCCCAUGUAUCAUCCUCCACCCCCUAUAUUAUCCUUUACCCCAUGUAUCAUGCUCCACCCCCUAUAUUAUCCUUUACCCCUUGUAUCAUCCUCCACCCCAUGUAUCAUCCUCCACCCCCUAUAUUAUCCUUUACCCCAUGUAUCAUGCUCCACCCCCUAUAUUAUCCUUUACCCCAUGUAUCAUCCUACACCCCCUAUAUUAUCCUUUACCCCAUGUAUCAUCCUCCACCCCCUAUAUUAUCCUUUACCCCAUGUAUCAUGCUCCACCCCUAUAUCAUCCUCCACCCCAAAGAUUAUCAUCCUCCACCCCCUAUAUCAUACUCCACCCCUGUAUCAUUCCCCACCCCCCUAGGUUGUCAUUCUCCCCCCCUAUAUCGUCCUCCACCCCCUAUAUUAUCCUUUACCCCAUGUAUCAUCCUCCACCCCUAUAUUAUCCUUUACCCCAUGUUCGGUAUCAA
rnacentral:sRNA from 1 species